GUCUGGGUCGUUCGCUGUUGUCUCGCGUAUCUUAUCAACCCAGAUAUCUAGGUCUCCUUUAUCAGGGUGGUUGGCUACACGUAGCUCGGGUCGGGAAAUGCACGAGAUAUCUUGCUGAAGGAACAUCGUCCUCGUGACAAGACUGCGGAAGGGGUACAUCGAUGAUAGCACUAUGAGCGUCAGCUUGAUUGGUUGGUUGUCGGACACGUGACUUGUGACAUUAGCAAAUCAGAAUGCGUCUGACUGCCCUCAUCGUGAGCGUGCUAGCAAGUCACAUACUGAGGACCCAGGCCUUGAGGCCCAGAGCAAGAGUGAUCAGAAAAGAUAUUGUGGAGAAUCCUCCGAAACACCACAAUUUGUCACCUGCGGUUCGUAAUAAUUUACCAUUUGGGUUCAAGCACA